UAACACGUAAACUACCCGCCUUCAGGAUGGGGACAACAGACGGAAACGACUGCUAAUACCGAAUAAGUUCCAAGGGCCGCAUGGCCCAUGGAAGAAAAGGUGGCCUCUACCUGUAAGCUAUCGCCUGAAGAGGGGUUUGCGUCUGAUUAGCUGGUUGGAGGGGUAACGGCCCACCAAGGCGACGAUCAGUAGCCGGUCUGAGAGGAUGAACGGCCACACUGGAACUGAGACACGGUCCAGACUCCUACGGGAGGCAGCAGUGGGGAAUCUUCCGCAAUGGGCGAAAGCCUGACGGAGCAACGCCGCGUGAGUGAUGACGGCCUUCGGGUUGUAAAACUCUGUGAUCCGGGACGAAAAGGCAGAGUGCGAAGAACAAACUGCAUUGACGGUACCGGAAAAGCAAGCCACGGCUAACUACGUGCCAGCAGCCGCGGUAAUACGUAGGUGGCAAGCGUUGUCCGGAAUUAUUGGGCGUAAAGCGCGCGCAGGCGGCUUCCCAAGUCCCUCUUAAAAGUGCGGGGCUUAACCCCGUGAUGGGAAGGAAACUGGGAAGCUGGAGUAUCGGAGAGGAAAGUGGAAUUCCUAGUGUAGCGGUGAAAUGCGUAGAGAUUAGGAAGAACACCGGUGGCGAAGGCGACUUUCUGGACGAAAACUGACGCUGAGGCGCGAAAGCGUGGGGAGCAAACAGGAUUAGAUACCCUGGUAGUCCACGCCGUAAACGAUGGAUACUAGGUGU
rnacentral:rRNA from 1 species